rnacentral:rRNA from 1 species
UGAGUAACGCGUAUGCGACCUGCCCGUUGCAGGGGGAUAAUCGGGAGAAAUCCCGUCUAAUACCGCGUAACGCCGCGGGGCUGCAUGGCCCUGCGGCCAAAGGGAGCGAUUCCGGCAACGGAUGGGCAUGCGUGACAUUAGCUAGCUGGCGGGGCAACGGCCCACCAAGGCGACGAUGUCUAGGGGUUCUGAGAGGAAGGUCCCCCACACUGGUACUGAGACACGGACCAGACUCCUACGGAAGGCAGCAG